rnacentral:rRNA from 1 species
CUACGGGUGGCUGCAGUAGGGAAUAUUGGUCAAUGGGCGAAAGCCUGAACCAGCCAUGCCGCGUGCAGGAUGACGGCCUUCUGGGUUGUAAACUGCUUUUCUAUAAGAAGAAAAAGGUCUUGCGAGACCAACUGACUGUACUAUAGGAAUAAGCACCGGCUAACUCCGUGCCAGCAGCCGCGGUAAUACGGAGGGUGCAAGCGUUGUCCGGAUUUAUUGGGUUUAAAGGGUACGUAGGCGGAUCUUUAAGUCCGUGGUGAAAGCCUGCAGCUUAACUGCAGAACUGCCAUGGAUACUGAGAUCUUGAAUUCAGUUGAGGUUGGCGGAAUUUAUGAUGUAGCGGUGAAAUGCAUAGAUAUCAUAAAGAACACCUAUUGCGAAGGCAGCUAACUGGACUUGAAUUGACGCUGAGGUACGAAAGCGUGGGGAGCGAACAGGAUUAGAUACCCUUGUAGUC